CUCUACCGUGUCUCUGCAGGACAGAUGAGCUGAUCCCUCAUCGUCUCAACACCAUCAUAGACAGCGACAGGAUACCGAUGAGUGCAGAGUCUUCUGACCACAACUGAGGAUGACGGACUUUCUUCAUCCACGUCUUCUUCUUCUGCUGAAUGAAUGCAGACGGUGUACCCAGAAGGGUCGGAGGGGGUCAUGCAGGAGAAAUGCAGGGGUUUUGCAGGGAUUUUUCACUAAAUAAACACGAAGGAAAAAAAAAAAAAAAAAAAAAAAAAAAA